rnacentral:rRNA from 1 species
UCCAGACUCCUACGGGAGGCAGCAGUCGGGAAUAUUGCACAAUGGAGGAAACUCUGAUGCAGUGACGCCGCGUGCAGGAAGAAGGUUUUAGGAUUGUAAACUGCUUUAGACAGGGAAGAAAAAAGACAGUACCUGUAGAAUAAGCCCCGGCUAACUACGUGCCAGCAGCCGCGGUAAUACGUAGGGGGCAAGCGUUAUCCGGAAUUACUGGGUGUAAAGGGAGCGCAGACGGCAGUGCAAGUCUGGAGUGAAAGCCCGUGGCUUAACCACGGGACUGCUCUGGAAACUGUGCAGCUAGAGUGCAGGAGAGGCAGGCGGAAUUCCUAGUGUAGCGGUGAAAUGCGUAGAUAUUAGGAGGAACACCGGUGGCGAAGGCGGCCUGCUGGACUGUAACUGACGUUGAGGCUCGAAAGCGUGGGGAGCAAACAGGAUUAGAUACCCCAGUAA